rfam:Myotis davidii contig194116, whole genome shotgun sequence.
GGCCAGUUUGCUCAGUUGUUAGAGCAUUAGCCCUGCGACCAAAAGGUCGCAGGUUCAAUUCCCGUCCUGACCC